AGCUCUUCGUCGUCGAAGGGAGAUAACUCAUGCUCCUUAGUGACAAAAUGGCACAGAAUGUGACGGGAAAUGGACAUGACACGCUCGCUUCGAUAUUUAAGCAAUUAUUAAAGGCUUAUGAAUAUCUGGAGUCGUCUGACCUAGCCACAUCAGACCCUGGAUACCAGGCAAAGGUGGCCCAAUGUAUCCCAGAAGCUGAAAAAGCCGUCCACAAGGUGAACCUCCUGCAUUUAUUCAGUGAUAAUGAAGAUAUUGAUGAAGUUACAACGAGCAGUCUAAAGUUUAUCUUACUGCCAGCUUUGCUUGGUUAUUUCACAAUGAAACAAAUUGAAGGAGAACGUUCGGAAAUUGUCCAGAAAGGAAAAGCUUACUUUAAAGAUUUUAUGAGACUUUGCUCUCUCUAUAAAUUAACUUCCGUCAGACUGGAUCAGAAUGAUGAGGAAGAUGAAGAAGGACCCAGCAAUAGUAAUAAAAGCAGAGAAUCAAGUUUACAAGAAAUGGCAAACCAAAGACAAAGUAAAAUUGAAAGAUAUAAAGAACAAAAAAGAAUAAUAACUGAAUUAAAGGAACUUCGAACUCAUGUGGAAAAGAGCCAUGUUGAAGAAGAGGUUGAGAGAAAAUAUUAUAUGUUGCUGCUCAAGCACUGGAUCAACACAGUUAUUGAUGAAUAUGAAAAUAUAAAAUUUGAACUUCAAAUCUUGGAACAAAGACCUAACAUGGCACACUGUCAUCAGCGCCAGCCAAAAGAACCCUCUCAGAAAAAGUCAUUCCGGCCCUUCAUUAUAACAAAAGACCAACUCCAAAAGAAGGUUCUAGGGGCUGGUUAUCCUAGUUUGCCUACAUUAACCAUUGAAGAAUUCUAUGAUCAAAAAAUAAAGGAAGGAACAUUACAAAUACCAACCGGUCAGAGUCUACACGACUGGGCUGUAGAACCAGAGAAGAAAGCAAAUGAUGCUGAUCAAAAAGAGGCUGAAGAUGAUGAGAAAGAAGAUGCAGAUGAUCCUGAAGCUUUAGCAAAAGCACGAGCUUGGGACGAUUGGAAAGAUGCCGUCAAUUUAUAACUAUUCAAGAGGAAUAUUAAACUGUAUCAAUCUCACUAGUAUCAGAAGGCCCGAAAAGGCCAAGGUCACAGCUUCUUCUUCCUUCAGAUCAGAACAGUAAAAAAAACAAAAGAUAUUCGUCGUGGCGAUGGAAACAGAAAUAACAUGGGAUGAUAUGAACUUUAUACACUGAUCCAACAAAUUGUAACUCCACAGAAAUGAAAGAAAACUGAAUUUGAAAUCUUUUAAAUGUGCUGGUUUUGUAAAUCAACUCUAAUAAUAACAAUAAUAAUAAUAAUAAUGAUAAUUAGUUUCACAAAAUAAUUUACUAAAUUAUUUUAUUGAACUACCCCCCCACUGCCAUUCCUUUUCCUUUUUUUCUUCCUUUUCCCUGAGUAAAUCAAUUACUCACAAGACUUUAUUUUGUAUUAAUGUUUUAUCUGAAAUAAAAACUGCAUACAGAACAUUU